rnacentral:rRNA from 1 species
AGUGAACGCUGGCGGUAGGCCUAACACAUGCAAGUCGAACGGCAGCACAGUAAGAGCUUGCUCUUACGGGUGGCGAGUGGCGGACGGGUGAGGCAUACAUCGGAAUCUACUUUUUCGUGGGGGAUAACGUAGGGAAACUUACGCUAAUACCGCAUACGACCUACGGGUGAAAGCAGGGGAUCUUCGGACCUUGCGUGAUUGAAUGAGCCGAUGUCGGAUGAGCUAGUUGGCGGGGUAAAGGCCCACCAAGGCGACGAUCCGUAGCUGGUCUGAGAGGAUGACCAGCCACACUGGGACGUAGACACGGUCCAGACUCCUACGGGAGACAGCAGUGGGAAAUAUUGGACAAUGGGCGCAAGCCUGAUCCAGCCAUACCGCGUGGGUGAAGAAGGCCUUCGGGUUGUAAAGCCCUUUUGUUGGGAAAGAAAAACAGCAGGUUAAUACCCCGCUGUUCUGACGGUACCCAAAGAAUAAGCACCGGCUAACUUCGUG